rnacentral:rRNA from 1 species
UCUGGAAACUNUCUGACUUGAGUGCAGAAGGGGAGAGUGGAAUUCCAUGUGUAGCGGUGAAAUGCGUAGAUAUAUGGAGGAACACCAGUGGCGAAAGCGGCUCUCUGGUCUGUCACUGACGCUGAGGCUCGAAAGCGUGGGUAGCGAACAGGAUUAGAUACCCAGGUAGUNCACGCCGUAAACGAUGAGUGCUAGGUGUUAGGCCCUUUCCGGGGCUUAGUGCCGGAGCUAACGCAAUAAGCACUCCGCCUGGGGAGUACGACCGCAAGGUUGAAACUCAAAGGAAUUGACGGGGGCCCGCACAAGCGGUGGAGCAUGUGGUUUAAUUCGAAGCAACGCGAAGAACCUUACCAGGUCUUGACAUCCCGAUGCUAUUCUUAGAGAUAGGAAGUUACUUCGGUACAUCGGAGACAGGUGGUGCAUGGUUGUCGUCAGCUCGUGUCGUGAGAUGUUGGGUUAAGUCCCGCAACGAGCGCAGCCCUUAUUGUUAGUUGCCAUCAUUAAGUUGGGCACUCUAGCGAGACUGCCGGUAAUAAACCGGAGGAAGGUGGGGAUGACGUCAAAUCAUCAUGCCCCUUAUGACCUGGGCUACACGCGUGCUACAAUGGUCGGUACAACGAGUUGCGAGCCGGUGACGGCAAGCUAAUCUCUGAAAGCCGAUCUCAGUUCGGAUUGGAGGCUGCAACUCGCCUCCAUGAAGUCGGAAUCGCUAGUAAUCGCGGAUCAGCACGCCGCGGUGAAUACGUUCCCGGGCCUUGUACACACCGCCCGUCACACCACGAGAGUUUGUAACACCCGAAGUCGGUGAGGUANCCUUUUAGGG